UGGGGAAUUUUGGACAAUGGGCGAAAGCCUGAUCCAGCAAUGCCGCGUGUGUGAAGAAGGCCUUCGGGUUGUAAAGCACUUUUGUCCGGAAAGAAAUCCUUGGCUCUAAUACAGUCGGGGGAUGACGGUACCGGAAGAAUAAGCACCGGCUAACUACGUGCCAGCAGCCGCGGUAAUACGUAGGGUGCAAGCGUUAAUCGGAAUUACUGGGCGUAAAGCGUGCGCAGGCGGUUUGCUAAGACCGAUGUGAAAUCCCCGGGCUCAACCUGGGAACUGCAUUGGUGAUUGGCAGGCUAGAGUAUGGCAGAGGGGGGUAGAAUUCCACGUGUAGCAGUGAAAUGCGUAGAGAUGUGGAGGAAUACCGAUGGCGAAGGCAGCCCCCUGGGCCAAUACUGACGCUCAUGCACGAAAGCGUGGGGAGCAAACAGGAUUAGAUACCCUGGUAGUCCACGCCCUAAACGAUGUCAACUAGUUGUUGGGGAUUCAUUUCCUUAGUAACGUAGCUAACGCGUGAAGUUGACCGCCUGGGGAGUACGGUCGCAAGAUUAAAACUCAAAUGAAUUGACGGGGUCAUAGCUGUUUCCUG
rnacentral:rRNA from 1 species